ensembl:snoRNA
AAUCUCCCAAUCUGCGCGAUUGCACUUGUGUCCCGUAGUGUAAUUGUCGUAAAUGGAGAGAGAGAGAAACCUGAGUUUUGUGGGUUCAUCAGAGAGGCCCUGCCAUGGUCUCCCUGGUCCUUGCAAAAUUCCACAUUU